GCAUUCUUGCCCGAGUGGUCUAAGGGGGUAGACUUAAGAUCUACUAUACGAUAGUAUGCGUGGGUUCGAACCCCACAGAAUGCA
rnacentral:tRNA from 1 species